rnacentral:lncRNA from 1 species
CUGGCCUCUGCACAGACGAGACGUCCCUACCAUGCAAUAGGUGUAGAGCUGUUCUCACGGUGCAGCUUUGAUUUCAUGGCUAAGCACCCUCCCUCCCCAGCAUCCAGUGGCCCCAGCAUUCUGUGUCUCCAGCAUCCUCUGUCCCCAGCAUCCUCUGUCCCCAGAAUUCAGUCUCCAACAUGGAAUGGACCCAGCAUCUGCUAUCCCAGUAUCUGUUGCCUGCAUUGUCUCCUCCCUGGAUUAACACGGGGAAGUUCUGACCAUUCAAUGAUGUCUAAUUUUUCUUUCCAAACACUGAUUGAGCUAAACCUCUCUGGAAACCCUCACAGACCAGCCCUGAGGUGUGUCUCCUGGGUAAUACCCAUUCCCACCAAGUUGACAGUGAAAUUUCUCUGCAAUUACAUCAUCCUUGCAAACCCCUUCCCUUGCGGACCACAGCUAUAUGAAGACCCAGAGAUCCUGUCAACUGCCUGUUAACCUCUCUGCCACACUGUUGUCACAGU